GCCAGUCGAGCGGUAACGCGGGAGCAAUCCUGGCGACGAGCGGCAGACGGGUGAGUAAUGCUUGGGUAUCUGCCCAAUAGUGGGGAAUAACCAGUCGAAAGACUGGCUAAUACCGCAUAAGCCCCCUUUUCUUCGGAAAAGGGGGGAAAGCGGGGGAUCGCAAGACCUCGCGCUAAUGGAUGAGCCCAAGUCGGAUUAGCUAGUUGGUGAGGUAACGGCUCACCAAGGCGACGAUCCGUAGCUGGUCUGAGAGGACGACCAGCCACACCGGAACUGAGACACGGUCCGGACUCCUACGGGAGGCAGCAGUGGGGAAUAUUGGACAAUGGGGGAAACCCUGAUCCAGCGACGCCGCGUGUGUGAAGAAGGCCUGCGGGUUGUAAAGCACUUUUAGUGGGGACAAAAAGCCGAGGGCUAAUACCUUUCGGUCUUGAUUUAACCCAAAGAAAAAGCACCGGCUAACUCUGUGCCAGCAGCCGCGGUAAUACAGAGGGUGCAAGCGUUAAUCGGAAUUACUGGGCGUAAAGCGUGCGUAGACGGUUAUGUAAGUCGGAUGUGAAAGCCCCGGGCUCAACCUGGGAAUUGCAUUCGAAACUGCAUGGCUAGGGUGCGGAAGAGGGAAGCGGAAUUUCUGGUGUAGCGGUGAAAUGCGUAGAUAUCAGAAGGAACAUCAGUGGCGAAAGCGGCUUCCUG
rnacentral:rRNA from 1 species